rnacentral:rRNA from 1 species
CAACCCCUAUCCUUUAAUUGCCAUCAUUCAGUUGGGCACUUUAGAGAGGACUGCCGGUGUUAAGCGGAGGAAGUGGGAUGACGUCAAGUCCUCAUGGCCUUUAUGUCUAGGGCUACACACGUGCUACAAUGGGUGGUACAAAGAGCAGCUAACUCGCGAGAGUAUGCAAAUCUCAAAAAGCCAUCCUCAGUUCGGAUUGGAGUCUGCAACUCGACUCCAUGAAGUUGGAAUCGCUAGUAAUCGCGGAUCAGCAUGCCGCGGUGAAUACGUUCCCGGGCCUU